AUGCAGCCUAAAAUUGGAACCUCCUGUUUGCAGAAGGACCCAUUUGGUAGCUGUCCCAUGAGAAAUCAUCUUAGACACUACCAUCAACAACUCUGUUCCUGUUUCCCUUCAUCAUAUUUGUGCUGCAAUAAGGCGGGAGUGGUGGCAGCAGCAGCAGAGCUAGGACAUCCACAUGAUGGAGAUGAGUCACAUCAGUGCUUUCUUCUGAAGGAUCCCAGAGCACAGCACAGCACUUUAUGGGACUUAACUGGGAGAAACCACAGCACAUAGUGCAGUAGCAGAGAGUUCCGGCUGUCCCCACCAUGUGCACUACGCUCAAAAAAGCAACAGUAGUUUCCACAGGAAAACUGUUGGGUCCAAUAUGGCAAGACAAAAAGAUAGUGAAGUGGAGAUAUGAGGAAUCUUCUAAACUCAUGGAAAAUCAGGGGUAAAAAGAGGUUUUGCAGAAGUCCAGAAUUUCUCUUUGGCACGGUAAGAACAAGAGUAAGAAUGAUUUAAAAUUGUACAUUUAUAUCAUCUAAUCUUUAUGCAUGCUUUCAUUAUCAUUUUUUGCCCGCGAGAACUCUGAAUUUUGACAGUGUCCAUUGGACUUUAAAAUCAUCUGUUUGCUUGACUAUGAUUAAUUUCCUCUUCUUUACUCCUAUAGAAUAAAGUUGACAUUAGAUUGUAUUAUUUUGUGUCUUUUUUAGUUUUUUUUUAAAGGAAAUGCAUAUGGGAAUUGACCCAUAUUAGACUCUGUCAAAUGUAUCGGGAGGGAGUUUCCAAUCUUCAUCCCUGUAGCCAUCAAGCAAGGAAUUCCAUUGCUCAGAGAUAACUGGUGACACCAGCUUGGAUAAAGACUUUCUGACAUUUUUUUGAUGCAUUUGCAUUACCUUACUUUCUUUUUAAAAUGGAAACACACUGUACAUACUGUUUACUACUCAAUACUUCCUCUCAGCAAUGUAUCAUGAAAAUAUUUCCAUGUCAAUAUACAGUAGAAUCUAUCUUUUUUUUUAAACGGCUGCACUGUGGACCACUUUAUGUAUGUAGCUAUUUAACAUGUAUUCUGUUGAUCAACUUAGCGAUCGUUUCCUGAUUUGGCCUCUUAAAAACAGUGAGGCAAUCUAUAGCUUUGUUUACACGUGAAUUAACUUGAUUUGAAAAAACUCUUCAAGUGCAGGUUUCAUUGGCCACCUAGCAAACAAUGUUAAGAACUGGCCAAGUGCAGUGGUUCAUACCUGUAAUCCUAUCAAUUUGGUAAGCCAAGGCAGGACUGCUUGAGCCCAGGAGUUGGAGGGGGCAGUGAGUCACACAAUUAUAUCACUACACUUCAGCCUGUGCAACAGUGAGGCCAUGUCUCAAAAAAAAAAAAAAAAAAAAAAAGAACUACGUAGUUUAUAUAGUAUGAAGCCUGAGAAUGAAUUAAUAUUUUUAUUAUAGUUAUAAAAUCUGGGUUGAGGUGCAAAAGCCAGGAGCUAUUAGUAUAUUGAGUGUAAACUUCUUCACCCUUUCUCCUGCAGCAGACCAAAAAUAGAUUCAUGAAACAAAGAGCUUAUUAGUCACUUUGCUGUAUGGAUACAUUUGAGAAUAUUUACAUAUUUGAAAUAGAGAAUUUAGUCUACCAUCAAAAGCAAAUUAAACAUGUUUCAUUGUUCUAAAAUACAAAUGUAUUAUCAAAAAUAUAUCAAUGUUAUCAGUGAUUCAGUAAAAGUUAUACCAGAAAAAAAAUAAAGUAGAUAAUUUCAGUUAACAGAGAAAAUAACUCAUCUGAAAAAAAGAAUCUAUCUAUAUUUUAUUUCAAGUGUUUCCCAAGAAGAGGCUGGCAAUGCGAGCUAAAGCUGAAAUUAGUUAUAGAUGGUGUUAGGAAAUCACAUAUCCUUUAAAGUCCUAAACUCAAUAAAACUUAAUUCCAAGAACUCUAAGGCGGAACCUCCAUGCACUCAUCAUUGGCCUUAUAAUGCAUUCAGCACGGCAAAUACAGAGAUAAUCUUUUUAACAAAGCAUACCUCCAUAGGAUCUGAAAGCUCAAAGGGAGUUUGAAGUUCAUCUAAUUGUUCUACCAGACUACUAGUUUAUACAAAUGAAACAGUAACUUAUGUUUGAAUAUCUCUAGUUACAGGCAACUCUACCAAUCACAGACAUUUGUUCUAUUUUUAGAUACUCGGGUUUUUUGGUUUGUUUUUAGUUUUAGUUUUGUUUGUUUGUUUGUUUAUCUUGGGUUUAAUUCUUCCUGCAAGCUUUCGCUCUUAGAGCAGCCUUGCACAUACCAAAGUUAUCAUCUGCAUCCUGAACCUUCUCUUAAGGGUGAAUAGCUUGCCAUUGAAAAAUAUUCUGAAUCCUUCAAUUUAAUUUUAUUUUCCAGAGGCCUCUGCUUUUUUAUUUGUUCAUUCAUUCUGUCAUGAUAUGAUAUGGUACGCUCAUUCACUGCAAAUCCAGUAGUGAGAAAGGUGAUGAACAUGCUUCUGUCCUCAUGAACUUACACUAGGCGUAAGGCCAGAUUUAGAUAGAGGGAGGACAGUGUGAUAAAUUUUGUAUAGAAAGAAAAUGCUAUAGAAAACGAUUGGAAAGAAUGAUAAGAGACAGACCUGGAGAGGUGCCUUUUGGGCACAUUGAGGUUUGACAGCUUAGAGAAGUAAAAAGUUAUUGAAAGCUUUUAUAAAAAUAGAAAUGAAAUGAUCAAAUUUGAUAAUAAGAAGAGGCAAGAAGAAAGGUAAGUCAAUUCCUAGUAGGCUAUUGGAUUGCCCCACUAGCUGAAGGUAGGAGAUAGAAGGAAGUAAUGUGGUAUGUGAGAAAUGGAUUCAUUUCACAGAUAUUUAAUAGGCAAGUAUUUAGAAUUCAAUGAUCUGACAACAAUUUUUAGAAAAUAAAGUUUCUGCUAAUAUUAAAGCUUAAACAAAGUUAUGAAGCUGUUUAAUUUUUACUUCCUAUUGUUUAAAGUGAUUAAAGACUUAAACAUUGGCAACAGAAUAAACAAAUAAAUUAAAAUUAAACAGUAUUUUAGAAAAACUCAUGAAGUAUUAUAGAAGAAAUAUUUCAAACCUUUUUUUUCCUGAUUUGAACAUGUUAGAAAAUGUGUCUGCAGUUUCCCAGAUUUCCUAAUUCAGUGUUUCAUCUUCCUAAGAAAAUCACAGUGGAGAAAUAGAAAGAAAAGAGCAGAGGAUUAAGUGGUGUCUGAUAAGUACAUACUUUUUAAAAAUGUAUAAUCUUCAAACAUAUACAGAAACAGUACAAUAACAAUAUUUAAAUAUGCU
rnacentral:lncRNA from 1 species